rnacentral:rRNA from 1 species
GAUGAACGCUGGCGGCGUGCUUAACACAUGCAAGUCGAACGAUGAAGCUCAGCUUGCUGGGUGGAUUAGUGGCGAACGGGUGAGUAACACGUGAGUAACCUGCCCUUAACUCUGGGAUACGCCUGGGAAACUAGGUCUAAUACCGGAUAGGAGCGCCUACCGCAUGGUGGGUGUUGGAAAGAUUUAUCGGUUUUGGAUGGACUCGCGGCCUAUCAGCUUGUUGGUGAGGUAAUGGCUCACCAAGGCGACGACGGGUAGCCGGCCUGAGAGGGUGACCGGCCACACUGGGACUGAGACACGGCCCAGACUCCUACGGGAGGCAGCAGUGGGGAAUAUUGCACAAUGGGCGAAAGCCUGAUGCAGCGACGCCGCGUGAGGGAUGACGGCCUUCGGGUUGUAAACCUCUUUCAGUAGGGAAGAAGCGAAAGUGACGGUACCUGCAGAAGAAGCACCGGCUAACUACGUG